AACCUAAUCGGGUCAAACCCAACUGAAUCCAAUUUAAUUGGACUUGAUCCAAAAAUAAUUACUGAAUCAAAUUGAGUUAAUUAAUGAUCAAAUCACUAAUUAAACCUCUCAUAAAUACUGAAUCCAAAUCCGAUGGGCAAUCGGGCAUCAAAAUUCAUCGAUAUGUAAUCCUGAUCCAAAAGUCCCAACCAGUGGGACUCUUGACCCCGGUACCCAUAAUGUGUGGAACUCAUGAUCAGAGAAUCCUGAUUCUCGAUCAUUGAGUCCCAAACAUGUAGGAUUCUACAUCAGCCAUCAGAUCAGAUAGGAACCUCUAAUGUGUGUGACCCCGUAGGUUCAAACCUAAGUCGGUAGCACAGGAACCAAUUCCUGUACUAAUUGAAGUGACCAUCUAGCAAUGGUACCCGACGUCCAGAU
rnacentral:lncRNA from 1 species